rnacentral:lncRNA from 1 species
CAUUUUUUUGAUGGCUACAACAACACUUAUUUCAAUCAGCCAUUAUCAGGUAUGUUUUUUUAUUUACGUUUAAAAUAAUAAAAUUAUCAGACAACAUAAUAUCUAAACUGACACACCUUCCAUAGCAUGUUCUAUUUACUUUCAUCUUUGUGACCAAACUCUUUUGUUUUCAACGGUAGCCCAAUUUGCAUAGUAAAUACAAAGGAAAUGUAUUCCUUGUAUAUACAUAUUGAAACCGAAAGUAAAUUUUAAGUAAAUUUUAAAGAAGGAUUGUUUCUAAAUGGCAUUAAACACGCUCAGACUGAUACAUUCAGGAUCAUUCACGAACAUUAUUGUGACUCUGGUCAAUUAAACACUACCAUGACUACAGUGUAGUACUCGUUUUAAUUAAGGUUCUUCAUAACUAACGAACAAAAAUGGCGGUAUUUCCACCUCAAAAUCUUUGUACAGACUUAUCUGUCCAGUUGGAAAAGUUUUAAGUAACUACAAUAGUCAAUACCGUUCCCUUUUCAUGAAUGUGAUAUUCCGAAUUAGACUAUUUACCAGAUUUGUAAUACCAUAAGUAGAACGACGGGUGCUACAUGUUGAACAUGAUCUACUCACCCUUACGGAGCACCUGCUAUCAGCCCCAGUUUUUUGUGGGGUUCAUGUCGCUAAGUCUUUACUUUUUGUUGAGCCUGCGACUUUAGUUGCAGAAAGCUCGACGUAGGGAUAGUGAUCCGGCGUGUUAGCUCACUUCUUAAAAGCUUUAUAUUUUAGAAAGUAAGAAGACCUGGAUGCUUUAUACUUUGUAUAUAGAUGCCUCAUGUUACGAAGUGUCCGUCAGUCACAUGUCCAAUGUCCUUGACCUCAUUUUCAUGGUUCAGUGACUACUUGAAAAAAAAGUUAUAAUUUUUUGUAAUUUUAAAUUCUCUCUUAUUAAAAGUAAUAGGAUAACUAUAUUUGGUAUGUGCGUACCUUACAAGGUCCUUAUGCCUGUCAGACAGUUUUCACUUGACCUCAACCUUAUUUCAUGGAUCAGUGAACAAGGUUAAGUUUUGGUGGUCAAGUCCAUAUCUCAGAUACUAUAAGCAAUCACUCUUAGACUAGUAUAUUCAGUGUAUGGAAGGACUGGAAGGUGUACAUGUCCAACUGGCAGGUGUCAUCUGUCCUUGACCUCAUUUUCAUGGUUCAGUGGCUAUAGUUUUUGUGUUUUGGUCUGUUUUUCUUAUACUGUAUGCUAUAGGUCUACUAUAUUUGGUGUAUCAGAGGUGGAUUUAGGGGGGCAGGGGGCCCGGGCCUCCCCUUUUUGGGAAAAAAUUUGGUUGCUUAUAUAGGGAAUCACUGAAGCGUGACUGGACCGGGUCCCCUCUUAGGUCAGUCAGUGGGCCCCCACUUAUGAAAAUUUCUGCAUCCGCCACUGUGUAUGAAAUGUUUGUAAGGUGUACAUGUCUAGCUGGCAGGUGUCAUCUGACCUUGACCUCAUUUUCAUGGUUAGUGGUCAAAGUAAAAGUUUUUGAGGUUUGGUCAUUUUUUUCUAAUACUAUGUGCAUUAAGUCAACUAUAUUUGGUGUAUUGAAAUAUUUUAUGAUCUAAAUGUCAGUCUUAACUUUGACCUCGACCUCAUUUUCAUGGUUCAUUGCUCAGUGUUACGUUUUUGUGUUUUGGUCUGUUUGUCUUAAACUAUAAGCAAAAGGCCAACUAUAUUUGUUGUAUGGAAGAAUUGUUAACUGUACAUGCCUGCCUGCCAUGGUUUAUCUGACCUUGACCUCAUUUUCAUGGUUCAUUGGUCAAUGUUUAGUUUUCUUGGUUAAUGUUAAGUUUAUGUGACAGUUGUGAUAAAUCUUUAUAUUUAGGACUGUCAACAUAAUAUCAAUGAUUAGUAAAGAAGCCUAGACAUUUUAGCGUGUGCACUCUUGUCUAUGUUGUGUCCUGUGUAAUUAUUUGUCUGUUUGUCUUUUUAUUUUUAGCCAAUGAGGCGUUGUCAGUUCAUUUUAAAUCAAUCUAUGAGUUUAACAGUCCCUCUGAUACCUUUCGCCCCUCUUUUGUAAGGCUUGGCAUCCACUAGAUAUAUAAACGUUAAAUGCAUUUUGUUUUCUAUAGAUCAUUUUAUAAUCUCUGGAAAAAAUUUAAAUUAUGUUUUAGUUGAAAUUUUCUAAGUUAAAUUUUGAUGCGAUAUAUUUUACAAUAAAUGUUUGUAUAUUUAUUAACCAGCUGUUUAUGGGAUAUCGUAAAUUAUUCUCAAGGUUUUUCGACUACCUUACGCAACCGUCUGCUUCAAAUUAUUAUUAGAAAAAAUAAGUUUGGUAAAACAUUCACAAUUUCUUUUUUCAGAACAUUCAGAAUUUUUAUUAAGUGCUAGAAUUUCAACUUAAAUCGAAUUGUACAUGUAAGUAUAAACUGUAUGCUAUUUUCAAUUGUCCCAAAUAUAUAUAUAUAAUACUGGUUCAGAUUGUGACAUAUGGGUAUAAUACUUAUUCCAAAUUGAUCCCGGUAUUAACAAUCAUUUCCUGAAAAGAGUUUGUGAUUUAAAUUAAACUUUGUUUUUGAAAUUGAUUAAAAAGUACAAAUGUUGAAAAGAGGAACUUUGUGUGUUAUGAUUGCAAUUCAAAAUGAUGUAAAAAUAUAAUAUGCUUUUUUUAAAACUAAUUCCAGGAGUCAGUAUUGGCUUUCGAUGAUAAUUAACACUUCUUGAAUAAAGUCUUUAUGUCCACAAUAUGUAAGAAUGAACAUCAUCAGUGCACGAUUCGAAUAAAAAGAGGACGAAAGAUACCAAAGGGACAGUCAAACUCAUAAAUCUAAAACAAACUGACAACGCCAUGGCUGAAAAUGAAAAAGACAAACAGAAAAACAAUAGUAAACAUGACACAACAUAGAAAACUAAAGAAUAAACAACACGAACCCCACAAAAAAACUAGGGGUGAUCUCAGGUGCUCCGGAAGGAAAAGCAGAUCCUGCUCCACAUGUGGCACCCGUCGUGUUGCUAUGUGAUUACAAAUCCGGUAAAUAGUCUAAUACGUGAGAAAACCUUUUAUAUUUAAAAGUAAACUUUUAUUACAGACCAGAGCCUUCCUAGUGAUAAAUUACGAACUAUAGUCUCUUUUUGUUAUUCUAGAAUGAAUUGACAAUAAAAGUAUAGCUGUCUAAGUUGUUUUAAAACAGAGUUAGAGAAACGAAAGACGAUAUACUUAACCAUGGUGUGACAUAUCUAAAGGCGUUGGUGCUGCACAACAUGGAGGAACAACCUUCAACAUCAGGAGGCAUAAAGCGUUCAAUACCACAGGAAUUACAAGACGAAAUCGACAGGAUAGCUUCAAAAGUACCACGAAACACAGGUAUCUGUAGCUUAACUUAUGAUCAUCUGAAGCCCAUUGACACUGAAAUUUAUUGAAAUUUUUACGUUUUGAGGACCUUUUUUAAGUAGACAAUCUGUAUUCCUAUAGGAAACACCAUUGCUCUUCUCCUCACAGACUUGUUCCUUGUUUUUUAUAAGGCAGACUUUUAAAUCUAAUCUUAUAUAGGCAUUAGCCUUAACCAUCACAUUUCCAUAUAUAAAUAGUACUUUCUCACUGAUUUAUUCAAAGAUUGAGAUAUCUACUUAACUGGCCUAAAAGUAAAGGAUACAACAGAUUCAAUAGUGUGUGUUUCAUAUCCUGACUCCAAUAUAUAUAUAAGGGUUAGUUGAAAACGCAACAUUUAAACACUUUAAACGAGUAAAAAAAAUCUUUUUAUUGAAAACCAAUAAUAAAAAAAAAAACAAAUAUGGCAGACAUAUGCUUAAGCUCAUUUGCAAUUAACCAUUGCAUUAUAUCUAUAUUUUGUUUCGUUUAUAGUUUAGAGUUUUAGACAUAAACAAAGGCUUAGGUUGGUGGAUUUAAUUUCUUGCACAAUUUACUUUACAAUUGGUACUAUUGGAGCAUUUUUAAGCUGACGGUUUUGAUUUCACUAAUUGUAUUAGGUCAUAUGAUGACAUAAAGAAGCUUAUAAAAAUGUCAGAUGAACCCCGGCGGCGGUGGAUAGUGACUGUUCUAUCAUUUGCAAUAAAAAAAUCCUAUUUUUUAUUGUUUCAUUUUCAACGUCGAGUAAACUAAAACUAGUCUGACUACAACAAUGUACAACAUAUCAUUGCAUAUUAGCCCUUAGUUUACAAACAAAUAAAUGCAAUGGAUAAUUACUCUAAAUGUAUUGUAAUGUCAUUGAAUUUUUGAUACUGAUAAUGCCAAGUUUAUAUUAAUUAGUUUUAUUCAUUAUUGAUAUGCAAUAGUUCAGCAUGCAGGCUGUGUAGUCAGUUUGGUGUGCAUUCAAUUCGCCAUUGACCUGUUUGAUUAAUUUAUUUCUGCAUUUGAAGAUUUUAAAAAGCAAUAAUAUUUUAAUCCUUAUUUACAGCAAAUCCAUCAGAUUUAGAUGAUAACCAGAAAAGAUGGCUGAUUCUUGGAAUAUGUCUUCACAGCAUAAUAACACCAAUACUGAGGAAAUAUGUUGUUCCAAUUUUAACAGUACUUUAUAAUGAAUUAACUCUCAAACAUAAGAUCGAUACGCAAACGUUUCCUUCCCAAUUAAAACAAUAUCCACCAACAAAAGCCUACCUGAAUUAUGAAUCUGUCAACAAC